ACACAACAUGGUAGCAGUCAGCGUAAUUGAUGGUGGCAUUAGGAUAGAGCUUUUGGAGUAUGAUGAGCUACUUCUGGAGCUGGUCAUUAUGGUACUCAGAAAAUUCAUUAGGCCACUUUAGACAUCCGGUUAAAUAGUCGUAAUCCUUCGCGUUUGUUGAACUAAAUCUGGUUAAACAUGAAGCAGAGCAUCCGGUUGGGAACUUUCCAAGGACUAGAAAUGUUCUGGCUCCCAUGUUGUACAGUUCCUAUGCAUUGAAAAAAUUCACCAGCGGUUACCUUUAGUCCAUAUACAAGUAUCUAUUCGCAGAUAUCUACUUAUAUGUAUUGAUGUAGAUAAGUAUCGUAAGCUUUAAAUUAAUCUUAUUGAUAAAACUAAAUAAUAUGUAUUGAUACCACCUGAUGUAGAUAAAUGCAAAGAAUCUAUUUAAUCUAAGAAUAUAUAAGAAUUUAUGCAUUUUUGAAUUCGUUGAGCUACCGAAAACAAGGUUGAAAAUACUUUUUUUAGUGCUUAAAAAGGUACUUUAUAAAAAUAUCAAAAUCAGUGAAACUUAAUACUAAAAGACUAUAUAAAUCCUAAAACAAUAAAUUAAUGAAACUCAAGCUAGUGUCCAAAAAAAAGGCAACUCAGGCUCAGUGCCGUGCCUCCAUUGUAAAUAAUGAAACUUUCGGCUUACGGAAGAAGAUUUUUAAGAAAAUUAAUAGGGGCAUAUUUCAUUAGUUUUCUUUACAUCAAGGCAUCUUUCAUUAGUUAUUUUUCUGAUCAAGUCAUCUUUUAUUCAUUUAUAUUUCUUUUUUUGUAACUGCUAUCCUACGUAAUAGACAAUAGAAGAUCUUUCAUUUCAGGCAUCUAUAUAUAUUGGUAUAAGAAUAUACUAGAUUUUGAUCCGCGCCCCCGCGCGGAUGCUGGAUUUAAAUUUUGUUCAAUAUAAUUUAUAAACCAUUUAUUUUAUAAAAUGUCCAUUUAUAUUUUUAUGUUUUGUAAAUUCCAUUUAGAGUAAUAUAUAUGAUUUAUAAUGUAAAAAUGUUAUAUUAAGAGCUUUUUCAAUCUCUACAUAAUAUUAUAUCUAUAAUUCUAUAACUUGAUGCAGUUUGAUAUAAGUGUAAGAUUCAUAUAUUAACUUACUGGGUUUUUUUUGUUUAUUUAUUUAAAAAACGUUUAAUUUUUUUUGUUGUAGUUGAUCAUGAAUUAUUAUUAGUUUUAUGAUAUUUUAUUUUCUUGAAAAUUGUAUUGUAGCAGAUUAGAAUCUAUAUUAUCUAUUAUAUAUUAUAGUUUCUGUUUUUAUUUUCACCACAAAGAAACAACAACCAUAAAUCUACUUUAUUUUAUUUCAAUAAUUAAUAUGUCAAUUAUUUUUAAAUAAUGGCUUAAACUAAAUAAUAAAGUGAAUUGGGUCAUAAAAUUGGGCUAGAGUAUAUAAAAAAUUAGUCUAUCAAUUAUUUAAAGAAUUGGGCUGGUCCAACUAAUCCAACUAAUUACUCCGGGAAAAAAACGUAUAUGCUAAAAGCUCAACUACUUUUUUGCUUUCUCCUAAACUUCUACGUCGCUCCUUCACUGUCUCUCUCUUUGACACAUGCAAACUGAUGUUGCCUCUCUCUUUGAUCUGAUCUCCGUCUCGAUUAUGACUCAAAAAACUGAUCAAAUACAAAAUCGGAGGAAUCCUAAUCCAUAAUCAUCAGAUUGUUCAUCGAUUUAUUCAAAAAAAGAUAUUGGAAUCAUUGCAAGGUACCGUAAAGAAGAAAAAGGAGAUGAUUUGAUUAAACGCUUUCUAUCGAAUUAUGACAGAAGCAAAGUUGGGUUUCUAUUUCUCUUAAACGAUUUCGGUUUGAGAUGAUCCUAACGAAGCAUUAUUCUCUAUUCAUAAUUUUACUAAGAGCAUAAGCAGCGGGUGAUAGUUCAGUGAAGGAAAACAAAGACUGAAACAAACGAAUGAAAAGCAUAAACAACUUGUCUUGUAUAUCAGGUGAUGAAGGUGUCAUUGAUAAGAAUUGGUCAUGUUGGAGAAGAAAGAUCAGUAACCGUUGGAUCACAAAUAUCAAAUAAAAUUGCCAACCUUGCGAACAAACCAAGAGAUGAUGGAGGAUGCUUAAAUUGCUAUUAGUUGAUGCAAUUGUUUGCAAAAACAAAGGGACAUUAACAAUUCGAUCCUGGACAAUCAUAUUACAACUAAAGGUAUGCUCUUAAUAUUAUGCCUCUCAUUUGUAAAUAUCCGGCACAAUCAUAUUAUAAUCUCAUUUAUGUUUUGAAAAAAUAGAUAGAUAAGAAUAUAAAUAUAAUAACCAAUUCAUAAAUUUAUUAUUAAUUUAUUAAACGCAAAACAGAAUAAGUCCAAAUAGAGCAAAACAAUAGAAUAAAACACCAAAUGAAAAAAACCAGCAAAUAAAAAAAGCAACACAUUCUAUUCAGUUUUAGUUUUCUCCGGCUUGAUUGUAUCCGUGCACAACUUCUUAGAGGCCGAGGUCACAUCAGGUAGAUCAUCGUUAUCCUUUCGCUUAGAGAAUGGAGUGGUCACAUCUUCAGCAGAAUUCUGAGAAUUAGGAUCAAACUUUGAAACCUGUAAAACAAUAUAAUAAAUUUCUUUGUCAAUCUUAGCAGAACGAAUAUAGGUAACAUGCUAUUUGAUUUGAGUAAUAGAAGGGCAUGUACCUCUCCAGCAGAGAAGAUAGACGAACCAGACUCAAUAAGAGAAACUGGAGCAGUUUGAGAUUCGAUUUUAUGAAUCUCUUCACCACCCCUUACUUCUGCCACCAAGUAAGUGUCUGCUCCGUUUGUGACAUUGUCUGAGCUAAUCGAAAUACCAAAACAAAAUGAUUUCCCAACUAAAUUCUGUAUUGGUUCAGGGAGAUCUUCUGGAUCUUCAAUCUGACACAUAAACAUAUAAAAAAAGAUCAGUUAUAUGUUUUUAUGUUCGUAGAAUUAAUAAACACACUCAAAUAUACUUGUCUCAUCGUAUGAGCCAUUCCAAAGCUCCACAGCUUCGUUACCAAUAACAGUUUUUCCAACAGAGUCAAGCAACAUCAGUUUGCAUGUGUCACUGUCAUCUGCCACAUACACAUGAAGCUUGUACCUAACAUUUGAGUGUGAGAAAUUAGUAAUAUAUUUAGAUUAACACUGAAAAAUUUAUUAGAAGAAUAAUUUGCACUUACUUUGGAGACACAUUAGUGACAUUAGCACGACAGUUCUCACAACGCCAUAAUGGUUUUUCAUUUUGUGCAAUUCUUCUAGGAUCAUUUCUACCGAUCCUAGUAACACGGCGGUUGCAUCCAUUUGCAUCAUGUCCAAAAAAGAACCAACCCCAACCAGUGUUAAUUGAUUCGAUGGAGCACACGAUUUUACAUUUCUGCGCCUGGAUAAUUAAAAAACACACAAUCUUAUAGUACUAAGCCGUAAUCAGAUCUCCAAUUCAUAAUAUUACUUAUGAGAAAAUUUAAAAAUAACCUCAACAGCCACCAAAAUCUCAGAAAUUGAACAGACUUGAACAUCAUCCCAAUCUUCUGCUUGCUGCUUCACAGCCUUGUAAGCCGGUUUGUUUUCCACAAUAGCAAGAGGAAGCAACGCUUGCAACAGCCUGAAUUUUGUUAAUGUACAAAUUACCAAUAUUUUACAAAAGACAUCCACAUAAAAAUGCCUCUAAAAUCUGGAUCUAAAUGUACCUUUCUUUAAAAUCAACUGCUUCUUGCAUUUCUGGGUUGAGAGUCACAAGGGAAGCAUCAAAUGCAUUUGUUAUUUGUAUAUUUCCUAAUCAACAAUAAACUUGCUGAUGUAAGCUUACAUUUUAAUUUAGUCAAACCCGAAUUACUUAGAAAAUUAUAGAUAAAUGUUUAUACCUUUGUAGUAGCUGAUUUUAGCAAACCUAAUCAAACAUAUUAUUAGUUUCCCUUCAUUCUCUUGAAGAUGAGAUUCAAUAAGUUCUGUGAAUCUUCCCCACAGACAACACUCCAUGUCGUUCCCACUGAAAUUCAAGAUGCCAAUUAAAAAACGUUGAUUAUAGUUCUUAUACAGAUUGGAAGAUAACAAAAUAUUUCUUACUUUGUGUCACGUAGUCGGAAUACAACCCUCUUACGAUCUUCGUUCUUGACCUUCACAGUCUGUAUAGUGCGCAUAUCAAAAAUUUCACCGAUGACAUCUGUUCAAAAAAUAUUGUUGAAUAGUUUAUAAAUCAGUGAAAAAGUAUGGAUUAAUAUAAGAAAAAAAAACACAAACGAAUAUCAUACCAAUUAGGAAAUAGGGAUUCAAUUUUCCCUCAAUGAUAUCUUCAUAACUUGCAAGAUCAAGGAAGUGGUUGUUGUUUUGUAAAUCAGAUUUUGAUAUGACUGUUUCACCACUGAUUGUCAUCUUGUACUGCAGGUUAGUUGGUCGAUACUGCCCACCAGCCUGGGAUACGGUGAAGUUUUCAACAAAUCGCCAUUCUCCAAUUGGUAAGCCUCGCUGAACCCGGAACAUUUGACUUCGUUUGCAUGAAGCAUGAAUCUUACCACCCUGUGAGAAGGAGAAACAAAGUAUUAAAUUCUGUUUCCAGGAAUGAAGCAUCUUCACACGUACUCUCCACCCGGUUUUGAAAGGCUUGACAUCCUUAAGCAGGUAACUAAUUAUGGAGGAUCUCGAUGGCUUUUAAGGAGAUACGGAUGCAAUAUAAGACAUUUGGAAAUAUCUAUAUCUUGUAGAAAAAAAGACGUGGGCUGAAGGUUUAGUUUAGAAAAUUAAGGAAAUCAUAUAUUCUAUAUUGCAACCGAGAUUCAAGCGAGAAUUCAAACUCUCUAGAUUGUAACGGAGAAUCUGGUUAAUUUUGUUAAAUUACGAAAAGGACAUUAAUGAAGUCAGGAAAGAAAACGUUUUGUCCUGCUAA